rnacentral:pre_miRNA from 1 species
CAGUGCUGGGGCUCAAGAGGCAGUUCUGGGGGUGUCUGCACCAUGGCCUGGGCUCUGCUCCUCCUCACCCUCCUCACUCAGGACACAGGUGA